ensembl:lncRNA
CGCGGGCUGCGGAGCGGCGGGCGGGCGGCCAGCGGCGGCUUAUAAAGGGAGCAGCCCUGAGGAAUGCAUCUCCCUCGGCUGAUAAGCCGAGAUGACUGGAGGGGUUUGAACUACCUUCGCAACCCCCAGAGGAGGGAGGGGGACGAACCUCCGGGAGAGCAGAAAAAGAAAAAUAUUUCAGCACUUGCAUAAUGUCAAUAAACAACCCCCCUCUCAAGUGGCAGGAAAGGAAAGGAAAGGAAAGGCUGGAAUGCUUUGGGUGGGGAAGAGAGAGCAGAGUGGGUCUUUUCCUUUCUUUUCAUUUUUCCUUUCUUUUCCUUUUGUUUUUACUUCCCUUCUUUUCUUUUGUUUUCCAUUUUUAAAAAAUCCUUUCAUUGUUUUUCAUUUCUUUUCCUUUUUCUUUUUUAUUUUUUCCUUUUACCUUUUUCUCUCUUUUUAUUUUUUCUCCCCUCCUCCCUCCUUUCCUUUUCCCUCUACCCCCUUUAAAUCCCAGGUUUUGUGCUCACAGUGAAUACCUCUGCCUUGGCUAUAAUGGGGGCUGUGGGAGGCAGGGCUGAGGGGACGUGGCAGGACUGUCCCCAUCUCUGUUUCCCAUAGACAGGUUGGUGAUGCCACCCCACUGCAGCAAUGCACUUUGAGUGCUCAGGCUGAGCACGCAGUGCUGUUGCAUGCCCUGAGCGUGGCUGCACGCAUCGGAUGCUUUGCCCACACUCUGUGUGCACACAUAAGAAGUUACUUUUGGGCUAAAUUUGGGCGAUGCAAUCUCCACACAGCCAACAGCUCCAUGACCUUUACAGGGUCUCUGUCUGCAAUGAGAAUGCCCAUCCCUGCAUUACGCUCCUGUGCAGACUUCUGCUGACUCCAGCACUGUCAGGAGGAGAUGUGCUGCUCCACCGGUUAAACCAGCCUGAUGCUGUGGAUGGGAUCAGCGGCCCCAAGGAGCCCACGGAGAGCCAGCGAUGCUACCUGGGGCUGGGUCAGCUCUGUGCUGGCCCUAGAGCAAUCCAGCCCUGCUGCAAGUGCCUGCUGCAUGGAAGGCAGUGGGAGGGGAGCUGUCAGGGGAGAUCCAAUCCAGCUGCCCCUCGCUCUGCUCUCCCAACAGUCCUCCCCCUGUGAAACACCACCGGGCAGAUAUCAGCUGAAGUGAACUGACUUUUGCUGCAGCAGUGACUGAAGGUUGCAGAUUCAUGCCAUCCACAGUUUAAAGCCUGAUUACGGAAUGGACCGUUUCCCACUUGGAGGGGGUAUACAUUGUUGUGCACCUCCAAAAGAAAACUGGGAGCCAGGCACUGUUGAUCUGCAGUGUGUGAACCUGGAAUGAGGCCAUUGGCGCUGCUCAGGGAAGCAGUGGAGCUCCCAGCCCAUGAACAUGGAGUUGCCCCACGGACUCUUCCACUGAAAAAGUGUGGAUGAACGGAGACAGCCAGAUAUUCCACUGCAGACUUCCCUGCGCUACUAAUUUAAGAUUGCUGUUCAGACUGAAAUUUCCAUGUUGGCUCAUGAUGAAUCCAUAGUCUAUAUGCAGUUCUUGAGAGAUAUUUCCGUAUCCUGAAAUAACAGGAGACUUGUGAUGCAUCUCUUCAUGACCCUGCAGUGCUCCACAACUCAUAGGAUGAAGGACUGAUGACACUACAUUGUUGUACAACAGAACAGUCACUGCGCAACAAUCCUUCAUUUAAAGUCAAUACAACUGAACUGAGGAGUUAAUAAGACUUGCAUGCUUCCAUGCCAGGGUUUGAUGUGAUGAGUUCACAUACCUGUCACUUCCCUGGGAUAUGAGCAGCUGCCAGAAACCCCUCUGGCUGCCGUCAAUCCGGCUCAAGAUACCUUGUCAGGAGUGGCUCGAACAGGAGAGAGCGCUGUUUGUAUCCAUACAGUAUUCAAACCCCACUGUUGUCAGAGCAAGGAAUCAUAUUUCCCCAGCGCCUGCCCUCUGGCAAACAUUUCACAAGAGGUGUACUUUACUGGGAAUUAGAGGUCAUUGUCUCAUGUGACAGCUCAAAAAUGUAAUCAUUCCUGAUCGGAGCUGACUUGGACUGAAAGGAGAAGCAGAAGACUGGCAUGUAUGAAUGUAGUAGCUAAAAGCAACGAGGUUGUUUAGGGACCAACUGAGGUGGAUACAUUUCAGGAUUUGGAGCCAGCCAUAAGCUCUGAUCUCCAUCCAUGACUCCAUCAAGUCAGAGCAGCCUGGAGUUUUGGAGCAGAAGGUUAUCAGGAUGAAGUCUGCUUCUCAUACCAUUGUGAAUGAAGUUGGUGCCUGUCUGGAUGCACAGCCACAAAUCAUUACAGAGGCAAGCAGUUAUGGUCAGAGAAACCAGAGAGGAAUUUGUUACAGUUAGCUGAAGGUCCAUAAGCUACGGAAUUGAGCCCGAAGGCAAGAGCAGCUUUUCAGAGUCUGUGCUGCCAUCUAGUGUUAUUGUAUAUAUAGCACACCGGUUAACGUCUGAGCCCCAGCUCACUGUAGAGCUUUCUUCCUGCACGUCUCCCAGCUGAAUGUUUAACUCUAAGAUAGAGGAGAUUUUAGUUAAACUUCCUAAUCCACUAAUGCUGAUGACCUCUGAAAUUUUUGACCACCUAAAGGCUGUGUAUACGGAUAGAAGAGAGACUUCUGCUACAGUAUUUCUUUUAGACAGAUAGCACAGGUUGCUUCUGUCAGGAAGAGCAAAAGGAAGAUGCUUUGGCUGCUGCUGCAUUUUAGCAGCACUAAUUCUCAAGAAAAGGAAAAAAAGAAAAUAAAGUGAGGAUUACUGAGUGAACUUCAGGGAAGCUGCUCUUAUCUGCCACUAUGUGAGCUCCACAGUUCUCUGAAGGCUUUCUCGUGUGUUCAGGAAUAGGAAGCCUUGUACGUAUGUUGUAAAUGAGUGAGACAAAUAUCCUGUCAGUAUUUUUCACUUUUCUCGUCUAGAGAAAACCAGCUUAUUUCAAGUCCCAGAUUCCAAUUUGAUCCUUCGGAAGUCAGGGCAAUUAGUACAAGGCACUGCUCUUACUGCUUGGAAUAAAUUCAUUAGGAAACCUGUGUAGGCACAGAGCAUGAUGAAACAACACACAUUCUUGUGUUGCAUACCAGAGCGACAAGUAAAUUUCAAAGGUGACAGCCCAGAGUUACUGUGACUUCACAGCAACCACUUGGCUGACCUGAGAACAGAACCGUCUUUGUUUACAAUCUGCAUUUUUUUCUAACUCUUAUCUACUCUCUAGCACUGUAAUUUCCCUGAGCCCCCUCUGUGCCUCUAGGUCCAGCUUUCUCUGCACCUUGCAUUAUGCUGUACAAAUGUCCAGGUGUUACAAGGGACUUUCAUCUUCCAAAACAAAAGGUGAUGGACCAGCGACUAUCUGCAGUAACAAGUCACUGCCUGGGGAGAUAAAAGACAUUUCUUCUGGAUAGAAGUUACAUGUUAUGAGCUGUUUGUUCAGACUGAACAGUGAAACUAGAUAUAUGCCACGGAGAUAUACACCAUCUUCUGGAUCCUGCUGCACUUACGGAAGAUGCUACCAAGUCUGCCCAUUUAACAUCCUUUGCUGGCUGAAGUGGCCCUAUUCCCACCCCUAAGAAUCUGUCCCAUGAAUAUUUUAUGUAAACACUCCCUUAUUCACCUUGUGAGGUCAGACCAUUAAAAUCGGAUAUUAAAGUAGCAUUCUCAAAGCGGUUGAAGGGGAGCAGUGAUCAGCAGCACUAACUCAUUCCACGAUGACAGCUGCAUCUGGAGAGGAGCGUUUCUUGUCAUCACCCCACUCAUGUGUGCUAAGCCAGGAUAAGUACCCCCAUCUGCAAGACUGGACAUGAAUCUUCUGCAUACUCCCUGGUGGGACAUCCAGACAUGUCAUUAAGAUACAAGAACGUUGUGGUCAAGAGCUACGAGGCAGAAGUAAGACAAAAACAAGUUCAUCCCUGCCAACUGGGCGAUGCACGUGCUUGAGGGGAGAGGUUACCAAAGGGCAGCUAAGGAAGACUAUUGAAAGGGGUCCUUGGGACCAGCAAGAGAGACUCAGGACGCCUAACGCACAAGCGCAGAGAGGUGGAGAAGUAUGCAAAGAGCUUAUGGGAAACAAUACGAUUGUUGCACCUGGACCGCUUCAGAAUGCGCGUAUAGCUGCAGUCUGAAAGCAAGGCAUGAACGAUAGGUGGAGCUAUCCGCCGUGCAUCCGGUGGUUCCCGGUCGGAGUGCCUGCCUCUUCAUGCUACAUUGGUGUUAAGAAGUUUCUGAAGGCUGCAUUUUGUUACCGCGUUGUCAAUAAAAUAACUUUACUGGGUGUUAGUAACAUUCUUCCCUGCUAACUGCAGCACCGCUCCGUGCCAGCCUCCAAAACAAGUGUUGCAAAACAGAAUCGCUUUUCCAGGAGCUGCGUUACAACUUCCAGAACCAGCUUCUG